rnacentral:ncRNA from 1 species
UCAAUGGCGAUGAAGAGGAGUAGUACGUAAUUUCCCAUAUUUACAGAGAGCCAGCAUAAGGUGAAAGCUGGUAAUAUGGGAUUACGGAACUCGCCUCGGAGCUGAGAUCCUGAAUGAGUAAAGUAGGGAUCUCCGUAUACCUGCGUUAAAGGUUAGAGUUGCCUUGAGUUCUUUAACUUGAGGCAAGAAAGGUGGUACCGUGGGAAAGCUUCUCACCCUUUAU